AUUGAACGCUGGCGGCAUGCUUUACACAUGCAAGUCGAACGGUAACAGGCCGCAAGGUGCUGACGAGUGGCGAACGGGUGAGUAAUGCAUCGGAACGUGUCCAGUCGUGGGGGGUAACUACUCGCAAGAGUAGAUAAUACCGCAUACGAUCUAUGGAUGAAAGCGGGGUGCCGUAAGGCCUCGAGCGAUUGUUGCGGCCGAUGUCAGAUUAGGUAGUUGGUGGGGUAAAGGCUUACCAAGCCAACGAUCUGUAGCUGGUCUGAGAGGACGAGCCGCCACACUGGGACUGAGACACGGCCCAGACUCCUACGGGAGGCAGCAGUGGGGAAUUUUGGACAAUGGGCGCAAGCCUGAUCCAGCAAUGCCGCGUGCAGGAAGAAGGCCUUCGGGUUGUAAACUGCUUUUGUACGGAACGAAACGGCUCGGGUUAAUACCCGGAGCUAAUGACGGUACCGUAAGAAUAAGCACCGGCUAACUACGUG
rnacentral:rRNA from 1 species